rnacentral:rRNA from 1 species
GAACGCUGGCGGCGUGCCUAACACAUGCAAGUCGAACGAGAAACUCCACUUCGGUGGAAGAGUAAAGUGGCGCACGGGUGAGUAGCGCGUGGGUAAUUUGCCCUUGAGUCCGGGAUAACCUUGCGAAAGCGGGGCUAAUACCGGAUAAGACCACGACCCGUUUGCGGGAAGCGGUAAAAGCUGGCCUCUACAUGUAAGCUAGUACUCGAGGAGAAGCCCGCGUACCAUUAGCUUGUUGGUAGGGUAAUGGCCUACCAAGGCGACGAUGGUUAGCUGGUCUGAGAGGAUGAUCAGCCACACUGGAACUGAGACACGGUCCAGACUCCUACGGGAGGCAGCAGUGGGGAAUCUUGCGCAAUGGGGGAAACCCUGACGCAGCAACGCCGCGUGAGUGAUGAAGGCCCUCGGGUCGUAAAGCUCUGUCAGGUGGAAAGAACGGUCCUGGUGAUAAUACCACCAAGAAUUGACGGUACCACCAGAGGAAGCGCCGGCUAACUCCGUGCCAGCAGCCGCGGUAAUACGGAGGGUGCGAGCGUUGUUCGGAUUUAUUGGGCGUAAAGGGCGUGUAGGCGGUCAGAUAAGUCUGGUGUGAAAGCCCUUGGCUUAACCAAGGAAUGUCGCUGGAAACUGUCUGACUUGAGUACGAGAGAGGAGAGUGGAAUUCCCGGUGUAGAGGUGAAAUUCGUAGAUAUCGGGAGGAACACCGGUGGCGAAGGCGGCUCUCUGGCUCGAUACUGACGCUGAGACGC